ACAAUCAAUUACAUUAGAAAUAGUGUGUAUGAACAAAGAUACGCCAUUUCUCAGCGUGCUACCCUGCUAUCCAUGUUGACGGCGCAUUCCACACACAGUAGUAUAACCAACUUUUGUGCCCUGACUUCUGCGGGUCAGCAGUGGGAAGAUGAGUACAUUUUCUCUGCAACAAACGUAAAAUACCCUUGGAAGGUGCAAACUUGGAUCCUCAUGUGGAGGGGCCAUGCUUGAACUAGGUAAGCUGCUCGUCUCUGGUGCAGAUGGAACAACACGUGGCAUGGAUGGGUUUCGCUCAAAUGGGGAUUCUUCAAGAGAAACAGGCUGCG
rnacentral:misc_RNA from 1 species